rnacentral:rRNA from 1 species
UGAGUGGCGACGGGUGAGUAACGCGUGGGCAACCUGCCCUGUACAGGGGGACAACACUUAGAAAUAGGUGCUAAUACCGCAUAACGGGGGGAGCCGCAUGGCACCCCCCUGAAAACUCCGGUGGUACAGGAUGGGCCCGCGUCUGAUUAGCUGGUUGGCAGGGUAACGGCCUACCAAGGCGACGAUCAGUAGCCGGCCUGAGAGGGCGGACGGCCACACUGGGACUGAGACACGGCCCAGACUCCUACGGGAGGCAGCAG